rnacentral:rRNA from 1 species
GCAUAACGCGAAGAACCUUACCAGGGCUUGACAUCCCUCUGAAAUCUCUAGAGAUAGAGGCUCCCUUCGGGGCAGAGGUGACAGGUGGUGCAUGGUUGUCGUCAGCUCGUGUCGUGAGAUGUUGGGUUAAGUCCCGCAACGAGCGCAACCCUUGUCCUUAGUUGCCAGCAUUUAGUUGGGCACUCUAAGGAGACUGCCGUCGACAAGACGGAGGAAGGUGGGGAUGACGUCAAAUCAUCAUGCCCCUUAUGUCCUGGGCUACACACGUGCUACAAUGGAUGGUACAACGGGCUGCGAACUCGCGAGAGUAAGCCAAUCCCAAAAAACCAUUCUCAGUUCGGAUUGUAGGCUGCAACUCGCCUACAUGAAGUCGGAAUCGCUAGUAAUCGCGGAUCAGCAUGCCGCGGUGAAUACGUUCCCGGGUCUUGUACACACCG